GACUCAGUGGUCCAAUGGUAAGGCACUCGUCGUAGAGCCAGAGGGUCCUGGAUUCGAUCCCCAACAGGGUAG
rnacentral:tRNA from 1 species